rnacentral:rRNA from 1 species
GACGAACGCUGGCGGCGUGCCUAAUACAUGCAAGUCGAACGCAGUGGGGACAGGUGAGUAACACGUGGGUAACCUCCCCUCAGAGGGGAUAACCCUUGGAAACAGGUGCUAAACCGCUACUGAUGGAUGGACCCGCGGGGCAUUAGCUAGUUGGUGGGGUAACGGCGCACCAAGGCCACGAUGCAUAGCCGACCGGAGAGGGUGAUCGUCAACACUGGAACUGAGACACGGCCCAGACUCCUACGGGAGGCAGCAGUAGGGAAUCUUCGGCAAUGGACGAAAGUCUGACCGAGCAAUGCCGCGUGAGUGAAGAAGGUUUUCGGAUCGUAAAGCUCUGUUGUUAGAGAAGCGGUAGCUAACCAGAAAGCCACGGCUAACUCCGUGCCAGCAGCCGCGGUAAUUC